AUUGAACGCUGGCGGCAGGCCUAACACAUGCAAGUCGAACGAGUGGCGGACGGGUGAGUAAUGUCUGGGAAACUGCCCGAUGGAGGGGGAUAACUACUGGAAACGGUAGCUAAUACCGCAUACCAUCUGAGGUGCGCAGAUGGGAUUAGCUUGUAGGUGAGGUAACGGCUCACCUAGGCGACGAUCCCUAGCUGUGCUGAGAGGAGGACCAGCCACACUGGAACUGAGACACGGUCCAGACUCCUACGGGAGGCAGCAGGGGGGAAUAUUGCACAAUGGGCGGAAGCCUGAUAGAGCCAUGCCGCGGGUAUGAAGAAGGCCUUCGGGUUGUAAAGGACUUUCAGCGGGGAGGCGUUACCCGCAGAAGAAGCACCGGCUAACUCCGUGCCAGCAGCCGCGGUAAUAC
rnacentral:rRNA from 1 species